rnacentral:rRNA from 1 species
GACGAACGCUGGCGGCGUGCUUAACACAUGCAAGUCGAACGGAAAGGCCCUGCUUUUGUGGGGUGCUCGAGUGGCGAACGGGUGAGUAACACGUGAGUAACCUGCCCUUGUCUUUGUGAUAACUUUAGGAAACUGGGGCUAAUAUCGGAUAGGAGCUCCUGCUGCAUGGUGGGGGUUGGAAAGUUUCGGCGGUUGGGGCUGGACUCGCGGCUUAUCCGCUUGUUGGUGGGGUAGUGGCUUACCAAGGCUUUGACGGGUAGCCGGCCUGAGAGGCUUACCGGCCACAUUGGGACUGAGGUACGGACCAGACUGCUACGGGAGGCAGCAGUGGGAAAUAUUGCACAAUGGGCGGAAGCCUGAUGCAGCAGCGCCGCGUGCGGAAUGACGGCCUUCGGGUUAUAAACCGCUUUCGCCUGUGACGAAGCGUGAGUGACGGUAAUGGGUAAGGAAGCAACGGCUAACUACGUG